rnacentral:lncRNA from 1 species
UUUUUGAGAGUGGUUUGUGUGCCUAUGCGCUGAGGGUAGUGCAUGGCACGCACGUGUGUAUGUGUGCUUUUUUGGCGGGAAUUGCCUCUUCUCUAAUGGCCUUCAUAUCUUCGGCCUAACCAUAUAAUAUACUACUACUACUACUAGGCUCUUAACCACGUGACUGGUGGUUACACGUGUGUAAACUUUUCUUUUAAUUUUGUAUUUUUUUUUUCCUGAAAAUAAUUUUAUUUUGUUUUUUUCAUUUUUUCGUUUGUUUAAGAGGAGAAACCUCGACCUCUUAAUUACUCUUACUAGGCCUGAUUUGACUUGGCCUGGCAAAUACAAAAAGGUCUUUGGGGCCUUUCACGCGUGUCUGUUAGUCUG